AUUGAACGCUGGCGGCAGGCCUAACACAUGCGAGUCGAGCGGAUGAAGGGAGCUUGCUCCUGGAUUCAGCGGCGGACGGGUGAGUAAUGCCUAGGAAUCUGCCUGGUAGUGGGGGAUAACGUCCGGAAACGGGCGCUAAUACCGCAUACGUCCUGAGGGAGAAAGUGGGGGAUCUUCGGACCUCACGCUAUCAGAUGAGCCUAGGUCGGAUUAGCUAGUUGGUGGGGUAAAGGCCUACCAAGGCGACGAUCCGCAACUGGUCUGAGAGGAUGAUCAGUCACACUGGAACUGAGACACGGUCCAGACUCCUACGGGAGGCAGCAGUGGGGAAUAUUGGACAAUGGGCGAAAGCCUGAUCCAGCCAUGCCGCGUGUGUGAAGAAGGUCUUCGGAUUGUAAAGCACUUUAAGUUGGGAGGAAGGGCAGUAAGUUAAUACCUUGCUGUUUUGGCGUUACCAACAGAAUAAGCACCGGCUAACUUCGUG
rnacentral:rRNA from 1 species